UGGGGAAUAUUGCACAAUGGAGGAAACUCUGAUGCAGCGACGCCGCGUGAGUGAAGAAGGUCUUCGGAUCGUAAAACUCUGUCCUUGGUGAAGAAAGAAAUGACGGUAGCCAAGGAGGAAGCCCCGGCUAACUACGUGCCAGCAGCCGCGGUAAUACGUAGGGGGCGAGCGUUGUCCGGAUUUACUGGGCGUAAAGGGUGAGUAGGCGGUAAUAUGUGUCAGGUGUAAAAGGCUAUGGCUUAACCAUAGUUGGCAUUUGAAACUGUAUUACUUGAGUGCAGGAGAGGUAAGUGGAAUUCCUAGUGUAGCGGUGAAAUGCGUAGAUAUUAGGAGGAACACCAGUGGCGAAGGCGACUUACUGGACUGUAACUGACGCUGAGUCACG
rnacentral:rRNA from 1 species